UGGGGAAUAUUGCACAAUGGGGGAAACCCUGAUGCAGCCAUGCCGCGUGUGUGAAGAAGGCCUUCGGGUUGUAAAGCACUUUCAGCGAGGAGGAAAGGUUGGCAGCUAAUACCUGUCGGCUGUGACGUUACUCGCAGAAGAAGCACCGGCUAACUCCGUGCCAGCAGCCGCGGUAAUACGGAGGGUGCAAGCGUUAAUCGGAAUUACUGGGCGUAAAGCGCACGCAGGCGGUUCGAUAAGUCAGAUGUGAAAGCCCCGGGCUCAACCUGGGAACUGCAUUUGAAACUGUCGGGCUAGAGUCUUGUAGAGGGGGGUAGAAUUCCAGGUGUAGCGGUGAAAUGCGUAGAGAUCUGGAGGAAUACCGGUGGCGAAGGCGGCCCCCUGGACAAAGACUGACGCUCAGGUGCGAAAGCGUGGGGAGCAAACA
rnacentral:rRNA from 1 species